CAUCAUUACAUGUUUUACUGGUUGAUUUUUUGAUCUAUUCCACCGGUAUUACAUAUAGUGCU
rnacentral:pre_miRNA from 1 species